GCCAGAGACAUAACUCCCUGCAGUUCUUGCCUGGUUUCCCACUGACGCUAAGCAGGGUUGAACCUGGCCAGUACUUCGAUGGGAGACCUCCUGGGGAAAGCUCAGGUUGCUGCUGGAA
rnacentral:rRNA from 1 species